rnacentral:rRNA from 1 species
UCGUCAGGAUGAACGCUAGCUACAGGCUAACACAUGCAAGUCGUGGGGCAGCAUGGUCAAAGCUUGCUUGACUGAUGGCGACCGGCGCACGGGUGAGUAACGCGUAUCCAACCUGGCCCAUAGUAGGGAAUAGCCCGGCGAAAGUCGGAUUAAUGCCCUAUGUUGUCCGAUGAAGACAUCUGAGUUGGACUAAAGAUUCAUCGCUAUGGGAUGGGGAUGCGUCCGAUUAGCUUGCCGGCGGGGCAACGGCCCACCGGGGCGACGAUCGGUAGGGGUUCUGAGAGGAAGGUCCCCCACACUGGUACUGAGACACGGACCAGACUCCUACGGGAGGCAGCAGUGAGGAAUAUUGGUCAAUGGGCGGGAGCCUGAACCAGCCAAAGUAGCGUGCAGGACGACGGCCCUACGGGUUGUAAACUGCUUUUAUACGGGGAUAAAGUGCGCCACGUGUGGUGUUUUGUAGGUACCGUAUGAAUAAGGACCGGCUAAUUCCGUGCCAGCAGCGGC